UUGCUGCCCAGCACCUCCUACCCUCCUGAUUUCUUGCUUGGUACCUGUGGUUUGCGUACAAAACUUUGUCCAGCACUGCAACAUAUUGGCUCCCUCCAGAGCAACUGUAUGCACUUGUAGCAGAAGACAGCCUGAGUGCACCCUGGCAAGAAUCAAGGCAGAUAUAUACCAACAUGUAUCCACGGUCCUAGAGCUUAUGUCGCCUGUGGUGUGAGGCUGGCUCUCCUGUAUUUCUCCUUAUUCCUGUGGUUUGGUCUUGGGGCAUCAGUUGACAGUGAGAUGUUUACUGCUCGUCCUUGGCAGCAUGGACUGCAAGUUACAUCCACCCAGAAUGAUGAGCGUGCCAGCCUCUUGGCUUAGCUUUUAAGCCUCUUAGCAGCUGCUUUUGUUUGGUUUCUUGGCAUCUUGCUCUCUACAUGCACAGCUUAGCGAUCAGGAAGUGGUUUGCAGAGAAACUGCACGCAGACUCAAUCUCCUUGGGUUCCCUUUUCUCUGUGUUCAUGGCCCAUCAAGUCCUGGCACCCUUGCAUCCUGCACUCCAAUCUCUUUGACUGUGCAAGCAAUGAGCUGUCACUUUCUGUUUAGAUUCCACACCCCAUGACAGUGCAUGAGUCAGCAAAUGAUCCCAGGGGACAGGAGAGCUGUAAAGGACUCACUUCAAAGCAUUUCUCUCCUUCCCAACUUCUCGGUCCUUCCAAUCCAGCCACCUCGAUUUCUCUCUGAUGCUCGCAGGCUACUGUUUCAUAUUUCACUUGAUUCGGCUUUCACAGUUCUCUAGCACAAGGGUUAUUCUGAUGCAAACUACUCCUUCACAGCCAGAAAUGGAAAUCCUCCCCCUUCUUUCCCCCCAAGAAAUAUACCAGGUGGCACAUUUUCUUAUUUAGUGAAAAUAUCUUUCUGUUGCCUUUACAUGUGGAAGCAAAAUUGACAUAGGACAAAAAUUCUUGGUUCACAAACACCUUUUCUUAAAAAUUCUGGCGAUGUGGCCCUGUAUUUGCACUCAGUAUUUCAGAGGAAAACUCUAACAGGGGGCUGAUGCCUGCCCUUUGUCACAGGUGUAAAAUUAACGUAAUGAAUGCUCUGAGCGAGAUCCUAAUGAGAACAGCGGCCUAGCAAGGCUCGCAUAGAAGUUCUGAAUGGGUGACACACAGGGGCUUCCUGGCCCCGAGCCCUGGUCAUAGCAGAAUGGAGGAUGUGGGAAGCUGAGGCAGAGCAGGAGGACUUUGGGGGCGCAGCUUUGGAAUGCUGGUCCUUACACUUCACUGGCUUCCUUCCUAUCAAGUGUUGGCAUGGCAGGUGAAGACUGAGGUGAAGAAACCUUGAGAUGCCUCCCAGCUCGAGACAAAGAAAGCGUUCCCGCAGUCUCCUGUCAGUUUAACAGCCACAUUUAAACGUUAAUACACUGGGUCUGGUCUCGAGGAAAUGAAAGAAACAUCCACAGCGAGAAAAGAUACUUUAAGGAAACCCACCGGAAGUACGGCAAGGUUUCAGAGAAGCAGGCCUGACUGUGUUUGUGUCCCUCGGUUUCCGCAGAUGAAAACAGAAAUCAUUCAAGGUAUUGGUAUGAUUUAGUAUGAUAUUACCAAGCUGUUAUACAGACUGGAAAUGUGAAAAGGAGAAGAUGGUACUUCCAGGAGUCCCAAUCUGCAGGAAGUUGUCACCACCCCUGUAGGAGCCAGGGAGCAUGGGAACCCUCCCACCCCAACUCAGGUUUAUCCCACAGCUCCAAGAGUUUGUGCUCAUGUGCUGGCCACACCAGGCAGGAAGCUAUACCUGCUGUCAUCAGAAUAGACACUUUUGGCAACACUGCAGAGGAGCCUUCAUCAAUGGCAGUAGAAUCCUCACAAAAGAGACCUCAUAGAGCUCCUGUCAUCUACUGCCAAGAAGUCAGCAAAUGAGAAGAGAGCCCUCACUGGAAGUCAGGCAUGCAGCAGUCUUCUGGUCUCCAGAACUGUGAGAAAGAAAUUUCUGUUAUUCAAA